CAAAUACUCCCUCCGUCCGGAAAUACUUGUCAUCAAAAUGGAUAAAAGGAAAUGUAUCUAGAAGUAUUUUAGUUUUAGAUACAUCUCUUUUUAUCCAUUUUGAUGACAAGUAUUUUCGGAUGGAGGGAGUAGAAA
rnacentral:pre_miRNA from 1 species